rnacentral:snRNA from 1 species
AUACUUACCUGGCGAGUGUAAUUCUGUGAUCAAGAAGGCGGAAUACAUGGUUUGAUUGUUUCACAUUGCACGAAGUGAAGUGAUCAGACUGCGAACAUCCUUUAAAGGAUGUCUCGGUCGCAUAAUUUUUGGUAGUGGGGAUUACAGGCGUUCGCGCCAGUUUUCCCUU